rnacentral:rRNA from 1 species
GAUGAACGCUAGCUACAGGCUUAACACAUGCAAGUCGAGGGGGUAGCAGGGUAGCAAUACCGCUGACGACCGGCGCACGGGUGAGUAACACGUAUCCAACCUUCCCCAUGACUCGGGGGAUAGCCUUUUCGAAAGAAAGAUUAAUACCCGAUAGUACUUUUUUGAGGCAUCUUGAGAAAGUUAAAGAUUUAUUGGUGAUGGAUGGGGAUGCGUUCCAUUAGAUUGUUGGUGAGGUAACGGCUCACCAAGUCUUCGAUGGAUAGGGGUUCUGAGAGGAGGUCCCCCACACUGGUACUGAGACACGGACCAGACUCCUACGGGAGGCAGCAGUGAGGAAUAUUGGUCAAUGGGGCGAGAGCCUGAACCAGCCAAGUCGCGUGAAGGAAGAAGGAUCUAUGGUUCGUAAACUUCUUUUGUCAGGGGAAUAAAGUGCAGGACGUGUCCUGUUUUGUAUGUACCCUGAGAAUAAGGAUCGGCUAACUCCGUG